rnacentral:lncRNA from 1 species
AUCCAAGAACACUAUUCACAUUCAGUUUAGCAGCACGGUACAGAUAUUUUUCGUCUGCCCUGUCUCUCACAGAAAAUUGUAAAUCUUCUGUUUUCGCUUCCAUUUCAACACGGGUCACUCUAGACUUAUAAUUUACUUCUAUAAAUCCAAUAAAAAUAGUAUCUCAUACUAUUUUUAUUUAUUUCCAUUUUUAUAUUUAAAAUCCGGUACCUUACAACUUUAGACUACUCAGUUGCGCCCUAACGGUAUAACUUUGCAACGAAUACUUUUUCUCAUUCAAUCGAACAAAGAGUAAAAAGAUUUCUAUUAUGCCCCGAGAGUGUAAAUUUGGAACGAAUCGAUGUAAACGUUCACAAGAACCAAAACCGGAACAAAAUUAGACUACUCAGUUGAGCCCUAACAGUAUAACUUUGCAACUAGUACUUUUUCUCAUUCAAUCGAACAAAGAGCAAAACCUAAUUAUAGUGUUCUCUUAUGCCCCGAGAGUGUAAAUUUGGAACGAAUCGAUGUAAACGUUCACAAGAACAAAAAACGGAACAAAGUUAGACUACUUAGUUGAGCCCUAACAGUAUAACUUUUCAAGAAGUACUUUUUCUCAUUCAAUCGAACAAAGAGCAAAACCUAAUUUUAUUGUUCUAUUAUGCACCGGGAGUGUAAAUUUGGAACGAAUCGAUGACAACGUUUACAGGAACCAAAACCGGAACAAUAUUAAACUUCUCAGUUGUGCCAUAACAGUAUAACUUUGCAACGAGUACUUUUUCUCAUUCUAUCGAAUAAGGAGUAAAAGCUUUCUAUUAUGCUUCGAGAGUGUAAAUUUGGAACGAAUCAAUGUAAACGAUCAAAAUAACCAUAACCGGAACAAAAUUAGACUACUCAGUUGCGUCGUAACAGUAUAACUUUGCAACUAGUUCUUUUUCUCAUUCAAUCGAACAAAGAGCAAAACCUAAUUAUAUUCUUCUAUUAUGCCCCGAGAGUGUAAAUUUGGAAAGAAUCGAUGUAAACGUUCACAAGAACCAAAACCGGAACAAAGUUAGAUAACUCAGUUGAGCCCUAACAGUAUUACUUUGCAACUAGUACUUUUUCUUAUUCAAUCGAACAAAGAGCAAAACCUAAUUUUAUUGUUCUAUUAUGCCCCGGGAGGGUAAAUUUGGAACGAAUCGUUGUCAACGUUCACAAGAACCAAAACCGGAACAAAGUUAGACUACACAGUUGAGCCCUAACUGUAUAAUUUUGCAACUAGUACUUUUUUUCAUUCAAUCGAACAAUGAGCAAAACCUAAUUAUAUUCUUCUAUUAUGCCCCGAGAGUGUAAAUUUGAAACGAAUCGUUGUCAACGUUCAUAAGAACCAAAACCGGAACAAUGUUAGACUACUCAGUUGAGCUCUAACAGUAUAACUUUGCAACUACUACUUUUUCUCAUUCAAUCGAUCAAAGAGCAAAACCUAAUUAUAUUAUUCUAUUAUGCCCCGAGAGAGUAAAUUGGGAACCAAUCCAUGUCAACGUUCACAAGAACCAAAACAAGAACAACAUGAGACUACUCAGUUGCGCCCUAGCAGUAUAACUUUGCAACAAGUACUUUUUCUCAUUCUAUCGAACAAAGAGUUAAAAGCUAAUUAUAUUGUUCUAUUACGCCCCGAGAGUUGUAAUUUCGAACGAAUCGAUGUCAACGUUCACAAUAACCAAAACCGAAACCAUAUUAGGCUACUCAGUUGCACCCUAACAGUAUAACUUUGCAAUCUCAUUCUAUCGAAGAAAGAGUAAAACCUAAUUAUAUUGUUCUAUUAUGCCCCAUGAGAGUAAAUUUGGAACCAAUCGAUGUCAACGUUCACAAGAACCAAAAUUGGAACAACAUUAAACAACUCAGUUGCGCUCUAACAGUUGAACAUUGCAACAAGUACUUUUUCUCAUUCAAUCGAACAAAGUGUAAAAGCUAAUUAUAUAUUAUACCCCGAGAGGGUAAAUUUGAAACAAAUCGAUGUCAACGCUCACAAGAACCAAAACCGGAACAAUAUUAGACUACUCAGUUGCUCAAUAACAGUAUAACUUUGCAACGAGUACUUUUUCUCAUUCUAUCGAACAAAGAGUUAAACCUAAUUAUAUUGUUCUAUUAUGCCCCGAAAGAGUAAAUUUGGAACGAAUCGAUGUCAAUGUUCACAAGAACAAAAAUCGGAACAACAUUAGACUACUGAGUUGCGCCCUAACAGUAUAACUUUGCAAGGGGUACUUUUUCUCAUUCUAUCGAACAAAGAGUAAAAUCUAAUAAUAUUGUUCUAUUAUGCCCCUAGAGUGUAAAUUUGGAACGAAUCGAUGUCAGCGUUCACAAGAACCAAAACCGGAACAACAUUAAACUACUCAGUUGUGCCCCAACAGUAUAACUUUGCAACGA